AUUGAACGCUGGCGGCAGGCCUAACACAUGCAAGUCGAACGGUAACAGGGAUCAGCUUGCUGAUUCGCUGACGAGUGGCGGACGGGUGAGUAAUGUCUGGGAAACUGCCUGAUGGAGGGGGAUAACUACUGGAAACGGUAGCUAAUACCGCAUAACGUCGCAAGACCAAAGAGGGGGACCUUCGGGCCUCUUGCCAUCGGAUGUGCCCAGAUGGGAUUAGCUAGUAGGUGGGGUAACGGCUCACCUAGGCGACGAUCCCUAGCUGGUCUGAGAGGAUGACCAGCCACACUGGAACUGAGACACGGUCCAGACUCCUACGGGAGGCAGCAGUGGGGAAUAGUGCACAAUGGGCGCAAGCCUGAUGCAGCCAUGCCGCGUGUAUGAAGAAGGCCUUCGGGUUGUAAAGUACUUUCAGCGGGGAGGAAGGGAGUAAAGUUAAUACCUUUGCUCAUUGACGUUACCCGCAGAAGAAGCACCGGCUAACUCCGU
rnacentral:rRNA from 1 species